AAAUACAGUUUACACAACUGGUAGCAUUGGAUCCCUUGGCACGCCAUUCGAUGAAGAACGUUGCAAACUGCGAUAAGUGAUGUGAAAUGCGAGUCCAAAACUUAUACGUGAAUCAUCGAAUCUUUGAACGCAUUGCAUCGAGCUUUGCCCAAGCACGAUAUGCCCCAUUGAGCGUCCUUAAGUCUUUAGGAAUUUUUAUUUCCAAGUCCGGGCUUCAUGGCUUCACGGUCACGCUGCCUUAGAUGCAUUACGCGUCGCACUACGGUUGCGCUCCUUGUUGUACACUUCAAGGUGCAUCCUAAUGCGUUAUCGCACUACGCUAAUCACCCUCGGUGAAAAGCAAACCCGUGUUCAGUCCUCGGACAGUUCACCCUUACUUGACUUAACCUCACGGGGGCAAGAC
rnacentral:rRNA from 1 species